AACGAACGCUGGCGGCAGGCUUAACACAUGCAAGUCGAACGCCCCGCAAGGGGAGUGGCAGACGGGUGAGUAACGCGUGGGAAUCUACCCAAUUCUACGGAACAACAGUUGGAAACGACUGCUAAUACCGUAUACGCCCUACGGGGGAAAGAUUUAUCGGAAUUGGAUGAGCCCGCGUUGGAUUAGCUAGUUGGUGGGGUAAAGGCCUACCAAGGCGACGAUCCAUAGCUGGUCUGAGAGGAUGAUCAGCCACAUUGGGACUGAGACACGGCCCAGACUCCUACGGGAGGCAGCAGUGGGGAAUAUUGCACAAUGGGCGCAAGCCUGAUGCAGCAACGCCGCGUGAGGGACGAAGGCCUUCGGGUCGUAAGCCUCUUUUAGCAGGGAAGAAGCGAAAGUGACGGUA
rnacentral:rRNA from 1 species